rnacentral:rRNA from 1 species
GCUAUGACGGGUAGGGGGCGUGAGAGCGUGUACCCCCACGAUAGCACUGAGAUACGGGCCAUACACCUACGGGUGGCAGCAAGUAGGAAUCGUGCGCAAUGGGCGAAAGCCUGACGCCGCGACGCCGCGUGAGGGAUGAAGGCCUUCGGGUUGUAAACCUACAUCAAAAAGUCACGGCUAACUUCGUGCCAGCAGCAGCGGUAAUACGAAGGUGGCAAGCGUUGUCCGGUCUUAUUGGGCGUAAAGAGUUCUGUAGGCGGAGUUGUAAGUUAUAUGUUAAAGGCUACGGCCCAACCGUAGUUUUGCGUGUAAUACUGCAAUUCUUGAGUAAUGUAGAGGUUAGUAGAACGUACGGUGUAGUAGUGAAAUGCGUUGAUAUCGUACGGAAUACCAAAGGCGUAGGCAGCUAACUGGACAUUUACUGACGCUGAGAGACGAAAGCUUGGGGAGCAAAACGGAUUAGAUACCCGUGUAGUCCAAGCCGUAAACAAUGUCGAUUAGGAAGUGGCAAGAGUCACUUUCGAAGCUAACGCGAUAAAUCGACCGCCUGGGAAGUACGGCCGCAAGGCUAAAACUCAAAGGAAUUGGCGGGGACCCGCACAAGCGGUGGAGCGCCUGGUUUAAUACGAUGAUAACCGUAAGACCUUACCUGGGUUUGACAUGCUACUGCAAGUUUCGAGAAAUCGGAACCGCCUUAGAGGUGUAGCACAGUGUUGCACGGCUGUCGUCAGCUCGAGUCGUGAGAUGUUCGGUUAAGUCCGUCAUCGAGCGCAACCCCUAUCGUUAGUUGUAUCACUCUAGCGAAC